rnacentral:precursor_RNA from 9 species
AAUCAUAUGCCUGGAUUCAGGAAGCUGUGCUGACCAAGUGGCUGUGAACGGGUUUAUGAUUAUUCCUAUCACAGCCUGCUUGGAUCAGCAUAGACCACUGCUUUUAUCAUCUUCCCUUC